UGAGGAAUAUUGGUCAAUGGGGGCAACCCUGAACCAGCCAAGUCGCGUGAAGGAUGAAGGUCUUCUGGAUUGUAAACUUCUUUUACACGGGAAUAAAGUGGGGGACGUGUCCCCCUUUGCAUGUACCGUGUGAAUAAGGAUCGGCUAACUCCGUGCCCGCAGCCGCGGUAAUACGGAGGAUCCGAGCGUUAUCCGGAUUUAUUGGGUUUAAAGGGUGCGCAGGCGGGAUGUUAAGGCGGCGGUGAAAUUUUGCAGCUCAACUGUAAAAGUGCCUUCGAUACUGGCCUCCUUGAGUGUGGAUGAAGUAGGCGGAAGUUGUGGUGUAGCGGUGAAAUGCUUAGAGAUCACGAGGAACUCCCAUUCCGCAGGCAGCUUACUAAGCCACAACUGACGCUCAUG
rnacentral:rRNA from 1 species